GACGAACGCUGGCGGCGUGCUUAACACAUGCAAGUCGAACGGAAAGGCCCCUUUGGGGGUACUCGAGUGGCGAACGGGUGUGUAACACGUGAGUAACCUGCCCUUGACUUCGGGAUAACUUCAGGAAACUGGGGCUAAUACCGGAUAGGAAUCCUUGCUGCAUGGUGGGGGUUGGAAAGCUUCGGCGGUUUUGGAUGGACUCGCGGCUUAUCAGCUUGUUGGUGGGGUAGUGGCUUACCAAGGCUUUGACGGGUAGCCGGCCUGAGAGGGCGACCGGCCACAUUGGGACUGAGAUACGGCCCAGACUCCUACGGGAGGCAGCAGUGGGGAAGAUUGCACAAGGGGCGGAAGCCUGAUGCAGCAACGCCGCGUGCGGGAUGACGGCCUUCGGGUUGUAAACCGCUUUCAGCAGGGGCGAAGCUUGUGGUGACGGUACCUGCAGAAGAAGCACCGGCUAACUACGUG
rnacentral:rRNA from 1 species